AUGCUGGGAAUGAGUUGACAAAGAAAACUUUCUGCAUCCCCUGCUGCUCUGCCUUGGAAGGGAGGAAUAGGAAGUUGGGACAUGAACUUCACCUUUCAAGGUAACAGUGGAAGACCUCCUGUUGCUCCUGUGUAGUUCCAAUGAAGCUGAGCUUCAGGCUAAAUAUCACCUAACAUGGAUUUAUAUUUUCUACUGAGUUUACUUAUAAUGGAAUAGGGGGAAAUAACCCAUUCAACCACCUCUGCUAACUCCAUCAGGACCUACAUUAUGGACUACAGCCUUGCCUGUGGUGCUGUCCUUCCUUCUGUCUAGCAGCAAGUUAUAAGCCAUUCUGCACCACCCUC